GGUUCGAUUCUGGCUCAGAUUGAACGCUGGCGGGAUGCUUUACACAUGCAAGUCGAACGGCAGCACGGACUUCGGUCUGGUGGCGAGUGGCGAACGGGUGAGUAAUGUAUCGGAACGUGCCUAGUAGCGGGGGAUAACUACGCGAAAGCGUAGCUAAUACCGCACACGCCCUUCGGGGAAAGCGGGGACCUUUCGGGCCUCGCACUAUUAGAGCGGCCGAUAUCGGAUUAGCUAGUUGGGUGGGCAACGGCUCACUAAGGCGACGAUCCGUAGCUGGUUUGAGAGGACGACCAGCCACACUGGGACUGAGACACGGCCCAGACUCCUACGGGAGGCAGCAGUGGGGAAUUUUGGACAAUGGGGGAAACCCUGAUCCAGCCAUCCCGCGUGUGCGAUGAAUGCCUUCGGGUUGUAAAGCACUUUUGGCAGGAAAGAAACGGCACGGGAUAAUACCCCGUGCAACUGACGGUACCUCCGCAGAAUAAGCACCGGCUAACUACGUGCCAGCAGCCGCGGUAAUACGUAGGGUGCAAGCGUUAAUCGGAAUUACUGGGCGCAAGCGUGCGCAGGCGGUUCGGAAAGAAAGAUGAAAUCCCAGAGCUUAACUUUGGAACUGCAUUUUUAACUACCGAGCUAGAGUGUGUCAGAGGGAGGUGGAAUUCCGCGUGUAGCAGUGAAAUGCGUAGAUAUGCGGAGGAACACCGAUGGCGAAGGCAGCCUCCUGGGAUAACACUGAGGCUCAUGCACGAAAGCGUGGGGAGCAAACAGGAUUAGAUACCCUGUAGUCCACGCCCUAAACGAUGUCAACUAGCUGUUGGGGCCUUCGGGCCUUGGUAGCGCAGCUAACGCGUGAAGUUGACCGCCUGGGGAGUACGGUCGCAAGAUUAAAACUCAAAGGAAUUGACGGGGACCCGCACAAGCGGUGGAUGAUGUGGAUUAAUUCGAUGCAACGCGAAAAACCUUACCUACCCUUGACAUGUCUGGAAUCCCGAAGAAAUUUGGGAGUGCUCGCAAGAGAACCGGAACACAGGUGCUGCAUGGCUGUCGUCAGCUCGUGUCGUGAGAUGUUGGGUUAAGUCCUUACAACGAGCGCAACCCUUGUCAUUAGUUGCUACGAAAGGGCACUCUAAUGAGACUGCCGGUGACAAACCGAGGAAGGUGGAUGACGUCAGUCCUCAUGGCCCUUAUGGGUAGGGCUUCACACGUCAUACACGUCGGGACAGAGGGUCGCCAACCCGCGAGGGGGAGCCAAUCCCAGAAACCUGAUCGCAGUCCGGAUCGCAGUCUGCAACUCGACUGCGUAGUCGGAAUCGCUAGUAAUCGCGGAUCAGCAUGUCGCGGUGAAUACGUUCCCGGGUCUUGUACACACCGCCCGUCACACCAUGGGGAGCGGGUUUUACCAGAAGUAGUUAGCUCAACCGUAAGGGGAGGGCGAUUACCACGGUAGGAUUCAUGACUGGGGUGAAGUCGUAACAAGGUAG
rnacentral:rRNA from 1 species